rnacentral:misc_RNA from 1 species
AACGCACAUUGCGCUCCUCGGUAUUCCGGGGAGCAUGCCUGUUCGAGCGUCAUUACACCUCUCAAGCGUAGCUUGGUAUUGAGCUUGUCCUUUGCGGACAUUUUCGAAAAUGAGUGGCGGUCGAGUAUGACUUCAAGCGUAGUAAAAUUAUUCCCGCUUUGGAAGCUUUGUACUCUGAUCUGCCAAAACCCAUGUCUUUCAAAAAUUGACCUCGGAUCAGGUAGGGAUACCCGCUGAACUUAA